rnacentral:rRNA from 1 species
UACGGGGGGAGCAAGCGUUGUUCGGAUUUACUGGGCGUAAAGGGCGCGUAGGCGGUCAGCACAAGUCAGUUGUGAAAUCUCCGGGCUUAACUCGGAAAGGUCAACUGAUACUGUGCGACUAGAGUGCAGAAGGGGCAACUGGAAUUCUCGGUGUAGCGGUGAAAUGCGUAGAUACCGAGAGGAACACCUGCGGCGAAGGCGGGUUGCUGGGCUGACACUGACGCUGAUGCGCGAAAGCCAGGGGAGCGAACGGG